CAGCCGCCACGGUAAUACGAAGGGGGCUAGCGUUGCUCGGAAUGACUGGGCGUAAAGGGCGCGUAGGCGGCGGCCAAAGUCAGGCGUGAAAUUCCCGGGCUCAACCUGGGGGCUGCGUUUGAUACUUGGUUGCUUGAGUGGGGAAGAGGGUCGUGGAAUUCCCAGUGUAGAGGUGAAAUUCGUAGAUAUUGGGAAGAACACCGGUGGCGAAGGCGGCGACCUGGUCCUUGACUGACGCUGAGGCGCGAAAGCGUGGGGAGCAAACAGGAUUAGAUACCCCUGUAGUCCCUGUCUCUUAUAC
rnacentral:rRNA from 1 species